rnacentral:rRNA from 1 species
AGCUCUGUAAGCGUAUACCCAAGUUGUUGCAGUUAAAACGCUCGUAGUCGGAUUUUGGUGGGCGAGAUGGGGCGUCUUUACGGACGCACUCGUUUCGGGCACCUUUGUGGAGGGGGGCGGAGUGCUGCUUAAGUGCGGCUCUUUCGUCGCUGCCACCGUUUACUGUGAAAAAAUUAGAGUGUUCAAAGCGGGCGUUUGCCAUGAAUACCUUAGCAUGGAAUAAUAGAAUAGGACCUGUGUUCUGUUUUGUUGGUUUGUGAGGGCCGGGUAAUGAUUAAGAGGGACGGUUGGGGGCAUUUGUAUUCCGGCGUCAGAGGUGAAAUUCUUGGAUUGUCGGAAGACAAACGGCUGCGAAAGCGUCUGCCAAGGACGUUUUCA